GUGGGGACAGGUGAAGGGGAGGAGGAAGAGUGUAUUUUGUUUAUGGGCGGCAACCUCACGAGGGGCGUCCCAUCCUUAUUGGCUCAUUGAAGCGAAGAGUGGCAUGAGAACAACCCAAUAGUAGGAAAAGAUAGAGGGUUCGCGAUGUGAGGCGCCCAAUGUGGGCCUUCUGCCGAAGAGGUAGGGGCGGGGGGAAGUUUAGGAGUUGAGGAAAGAAGAUUAAAGAGCGCGAGGAGUCACACAGAAAGAAGUGUUAAGAAUUUCCCUUUGAUGCUCUGAAGGCUAAAGAGUACCUGAUAAAUUGCAAGUCUGUCUGUGCCCCAUAGCUGCACAGGUAUGUAUGUGAAUUACCUAUAGUUAUGUUAAUCUACAUAUUAGCUGGUAAGUGAUUA
rnacentral:lncRNA from 1 species